rnacentral:rRNA from 1 species
AAAGUAAGUUGAGGUCUUCGGACCGAGACUUGCCGAGUCUAUCAGAAUAGCGGCAAACGGGUGCGUAACGCGUUGGUAACCUACCCUAAGGAGGAGGAUAGCUCCGCGAAAGCGGAGGUAAUACUCCAUAUUGCCUUAAGUCGUAUGGCUUAUGGUGAAAGGUGGCCUAUGGUUUACUAUGCUAUCGCCUUACGAGGGACCUGCGUCCUAUCAGGCAGUUGGUAAGGUAACGGCUUACCAAGCCUAAGACGGGUAGCUGGCAUUAGUGUGUGGUCAGCCACACCGGGACUGAGACACUGCCCGGACUCCUACGGGAGGCUGCAGCCGAGAAUCUUUCUCAAUGGGCGAAAGCCUGAAGAUGCGACGCCGCGUGAAGGAUGAAGCGUUUCGGCGUGUAAACUUCUUUUGUCAGGGAGGAAUACCUUUAUGCAAAUAGUGUAAAGGUUUGACUGUACCUGACGAAUAAGCCACGGCUAACUCCGUGCCAGCAGCCGCGGUAAUACGGAGGUGGCAAGCGUUACUCGGUUUGACUGGGUGUAAAGGGUCCGCAGGCGGUCAAAAAAGUAGAAAGUGAAAUCCCCCGGCUUAACCGGGGAAUGGCUUUCUAAACUCUUUGACUCGAGGCUGAAAGAGGAGAGCGGAACUGUUGGUGUAAGGGUGAAAUCUGUGGAGAUCAACAGGAACGCCCAUGGCGAAGGCAGCUCUCUGGUUCAGACCUGACGCUCAGGGACGAAAGCUAGGGGAGCAAACAGGAUUAGAUACCCUGGUAGUCCUAGCUGUAAACGAUGGGCACUAGGUGUUCCUGCCUUAGGCGGGAGUGUCGAAGCUAACGCGUUAAGUGCCCCACCUGGGGACUACGGCCGCAAGGCUAAAACUCAAAGGAUUGACGGGGGCCCGCACAAGCGGUGGAACAUGUGGUUUAAUUCGAUGCUACGCGAGGAACCUUACCAGGGCUUGACAUGCUGGAGGUAAUUACCUGAAAGGGUGGAUGAUCCGUAACCAAUCGGGAACCAGCACAGGUGCUGCAUGGUUGUCGUCAGCUCGUGCCGUGAGGUGUUCCCUUAAGUGGGAAAACGAGCGCAACCCUCGCUCUUAGUUGCCAGCAACUUGAUUUAUCAAGGUUUGGGCACUCUAAGGGGACUGCCUACGUUAAGUAGGAGGAAGGCGGGGACGACGUCAAAUCCGCAUGGCCCUUAUGUCCUGGGCUACACACGUGUUACAAUGGCGCGUACAACGGGAAGCAAAACCGUAAGGCGAAGCAAAUCCCUAAAGGCGCGCCUCAGUUCGGAUCGAGGCUUGCAAUUCAGCCUCGUGAAGCUGGAAUCGCUAGUAAUGGCGCAUCAGCCACGGCGCCGUGAAUACGUUCCCGGGCCUUGUACACACCGCCCGUCAAGCGCUGAAAAUGGGAAGCACCCGAAGCCUCGCUUUUGCGAGAUCACGGUGAAGUUCAUGAUUGGCGCUAAGUCGAAACAAGGUA